rnacentral:rRNA from 1 species
UGGGGGAUAUUGCACAAUGGGCGCAAGCCUGAUGCAGCGACGCCGCGUGAGGGAUGACGGCUUUCGGGUUGUAAACCUCUUUCGCUACUGAACAAGGCCCUGCUUGUUGUGGGGUUGAGGGUAGGUGGAUAAGAAGCGCCGGCUAACUACGUGCCAGCAGCCGCGGUAAAUACGUAGGGCGCGAGCGUUGUCCGGAAUUAUUGGGCGUAAAGAGCUCGUAGGCGGCUUGUCGCGUCUGCUGUGAAAAACGCGGGGCUUAACUGCCGCGCGUGCAGUGGGUACGGGCAGGCUAGAGUGUGGUAGGGGUGAUUGGAAUUNGCCUGGUGUAUGCGGUGGAAUGCGCAGAUAUCAGGAGGACACCGAU